rnacentral:rRNA from 1 species
AUUGAACGCUGGCGGCAUGCCUUACACAUGCAAGUCGAACGGCAGCACGGGUGCUUGCACCUGGUGGCGAGUGGCGAACGGGUGAGUAAUACAUCGGAACAUGUCCUGUAGUGGGGGAUAGCCCGGCGAAAGCCGGAUUAAUACCGCAUACGAUCUACGGAUGAAAGCGGGGGACCUUCGGGCCUCGCGCUAUAGGGUUGGCCGAUAGCUGAUUAGCUAGUUGGUGGGGUAAAGGCCUACCAAGGCGACGAUCAGUAGCUGGUCUGAGAGGACGACCAGCCACACUGGGACUGAGACACGGCCCAGACUCCUACGGGAGGCAGCAGUGGGGAAUUUUGGACAAUGGGCGAAAGCCUGAUCCAGCAAUGCCGCGUGUGUCAAGAAGGCCUUCGGGUUGUAAAGCACUUUUGUCCGGAAAGAAAUCCUUGGCUCUAAUACAGUCGGGGGAUGACGGUACCGGAAGAAUAAGCACCGGCUAACUACGUG